GGUUUGAAGAUGACCAAAAGCAAGUAGACUAUAGAAAGUUUAUUCAUGCACUGAACUGGAGAGAGAAUCAAAUCCGUGUUUUCAAGGAGGAAAAGGAGCCGCCCAAGAGGGCAGAUAUCUGGAACCAACUGCCACGAUCCCCUCCUGUGACUGGGAUCAGAUACCCUCCUCUUCUGGAUGAUCUGUUUGGCAAGGAAGAAUAAUCUCAUCUGUGCAAAGCACUGAUUUAAGAUUGGUGAUUCAGCUCUGAGGAUUACUUAGAGAGAUACAGAAAACAUUUCUUGUAAAAUAAGAAAAAAUAAAAUACAGGUUUUAUUGCAUUUAA